rnacentral:tRNA from 2 species
AAGGCCUUGUCUUAAUUAAAGUAUUUGAGUUGCAUUCAGGUGAUAUGGAUUAAAAUUCCAUAGGUCUUA